AUGUUGGUUUCACGUGCCCAGCUAGAGGCGUUGGUUCUUAAAGAGAAGAAGAAGGGUGAUGGCUCCAGCAGCGGCAACAAGAACGACGACGAAGGGCACAGUGGCAGCCAUGGCAGCAAGAAGAAGGAAUGUCGUGGCAAGUUUGACAAGUCGAAGAUUACAUGCUUUGAGUGUGGCGAGAAGGACCACUUCGCCUCAGAGUGCGAGGCGCCAAAGAAAGAGAAGGCAUUGCUCGCCGACGUCGACGACGAGCCAGCACUGCUGAUUGCUAUGGCAUGUGAGCACGGGCCAUUGGUGGAGCACGCCAAGGUCGAGCCAAAAGAGAAGGGAGCUGAGAUCACUCCCUUUGGUGUAUCCAUGGAGGAGUUGGAAGCUGCCAAGGCCGAGGCCGAGAGGCUGCGUGUGGAGCUUGCCGCAGCCGAAGAAAAGUUGCACGUUGUGCCCCAUUUGUGCAAGGCAGAGGCGAAGGAUGCAAUGGCCACAAGUGGUGAUGAAGAGUACAUGCGCUUCCUGGAGUCUAUGCAUGCUUACGAGAAGGAGAUGCAGCAGGCAAUGAAAAACAAUGAUGAGAUGAAGAAGGUGCUGCCAAUGGCUGUGCAAGAUGGUACGACGCCGGCGGCGCCAACGGCGCCGGUGACAAUGGCGCCGUCCGCAACGGCGCCGGCUGCAACAACAGUGACUUGUACCAGCUCAAUGUGUCCAGCUCCGGAGUAA
rnacentral:rRNA from 1 species